AACGAACGCUGGCGGCGCGUUUUAAGCAUGCAAGUCGAGCGGCAAGGGUCUUCGGGCCCCUAGAGCGGCGGACGGGUGAGUAACACGUGGACAAUCUGCCCCCCGGCCGGGGAUAGCCCAGGGAAACCUGGAUUAAUACCGGAUGAGACGGGACCCGCGGAGGCGGGAUCCGGGAAAGGCGCUGCGGCGCCGCCGGGGGAUGAGUCUGCGUCCCAUUAGCUUGACGGCGGGGUAACGGCCCACCGUGGCGACGAUGGGUAGCCGGCCUGAGAGGGUGGACGGCCACAUUGGAACUGAGACACGGUCCAGACUCCUACGGGAGGCAGCAGCUAAGAAUCUUCCGCAAUGGGCGAAAGCCUGACGGAGCGACGCCGCGUGAACGAAGAAGGCCGUGAGGUUGUAAAGUUCUUUUCGGGAGGGGGAACAACCGUGGCAGGGAAUGGCCGCGGGAUGACGUGAAUCCCGGAAUAAGCCCCGGCUAACUACGUGCCAGCAGCCGCGGUAACACGUAGGGGGCGAGCGUUGUUCGGAAUCAUUGGGCGUAAAGGGCGUGCAGGCGGUCCUGCAAGUCCGGCGUGA
rnacentral:rRNA from 1 species